GCUUUCGUAGCUCAAUUUGGUCAGCAGCGUCCGACUUUUAAUCGGAAGGUUGUGGGUUCGAGUCCCACCGAUCGCG
rnacentral:tRNA from 1 species